rnacentral:lncRNA from 1 species
AAUAUUUAUUUACCCAAUUUAGCUUGACUUGUGUUUCGGAGAGAGAGAACUCUCAAAUCUACUUUCAAAAAGUCAUUACAAAGAGAUACAAGAAAUUAACUUCAACAAACUCUUUGGGAGAAAUAUAAUUUCUACCAUUUUUCAUUCUCUUUCCUUGAUAAAGAGAGUUACAAAGUAACCAAUAAAUUUAGCUCUAAAUGGUCUCCACGAACAUUCCCUAAAUUUCUCUUUUACCCUAUUACAAUCACUCAUUGAUUUUCACCCUCAAGGUAUUCCUCAUGUGUUUCACACCCUAGAAUCCCUCUCCAGAAGACACCGACCCUUUUUGAAGAAUCACAUCUUUUAGUUCCCCAAGAUUCCUCCUCUAAUUUCAUGAGAUUUCACAAAUAAGAGUUAGAAAAAACAUAAAUAAAGGUCCAAACCCAUUAUCAUACGCCUAGCACACGACACGAAUGCGCUAGCACAAAACAAGUUAGUUGGCCAUACACCUCGUACAAGAUCCCAUGUGUCUAGCGCAUGGGGUAUAAUUGAAAAUUCUGUUAGAAACGCAAAGACACACGCCUAACGCACAACUCCGUGUGUGAAGCAUAUGAGACAGUGCCAUUACCUAUUUUUGCAAGUUUUUCUCUUUUUGAUGGAUGUUGAAAUAUUCAGUCUCACUUAUACAUAAAGGGAAGGAGAGAGAAGAGAGAAGAUGAUAUUAUUUUCUUAUGAUGUAAAAUUAUAUUUACAUGUGAUCUCUAUUUAUAGAGAAGUACAAUGAUAUGACUUAAGAGUUAAAUACUUAAAGGAUAAAACAAAAUGUGUGUCUUAAGAGAAAAGUAAAAUGAUGUCACUUGAAAGAUAAGUAGAUGGGUACGUGCAGGGGGCGGAGCCACCCCCAGCUAGCCUGGGCACUCACCUCCAACUUUUUUUGUAGCAAGCCCAGCCAUUAUUAGAACUUUUAGCUUUUCCUGCAGAUUUAUCUGCGGAGUUUUGUGUAAAUUCCGCAGGAAACACAUUUCCUGUAGAUUUUGCCAAGGAUUUAGGUUCCCAGGUGAGGUAAUACCUUAGGAUUUUAGGAUCCGCAAGAAAUGUGAAAUUAUCCGCAGGAAAUGUGAAAUUAUCUCCACAAAAUGUGAAAUUAUUGGCAAGAAAAAAGUAACGUUUUACGAUAAAUUUUUUGCUCAGGCUCUAUAAAAUUCCUAACUUGUCACUAGAUACUUGGAAUUCCACUUAUGAUAUUCUUGACAAUAUAUAACAUUUUGUUCUCAAACCAUGAGAAUUCGCCCAAUGUUCUCAAACCAUAUCAAUCACUCUUGGCGGAAACAGCUUUUUGGAAAACGGUAUUGCAUAUAUGGCAAUAAUUUAAUAUUUAUACAUCUUGUAUUACAAAACAGCCAAAUUACUACUCCCUCCGUCCUCAAUACUUAAUUUAUUUGACCAUUUCACACCGAUUAAGAAAAGUGUAAAGAUAAAAGAAAGAUAAUGAUAUUUUUACUGAAUUGUCCUUGUUAAUUAUUUUGAAACCUUCAUUUUUAAGUAAUGAUUAUUUUCUUUGUUCCACUACAAACUUUUACAUUGAGACCACAAAAAGUAUUUAUAAGGGGUGAAUUUGUCAAAUUCUGCUUAGAAAUUUGAGAAGGUCAAAUAUUGUGAGACAUAUAUUUUUUCCAAAUAAGUUAAGUAUUGAGGGACGGAUGGAGUAAUAUAUAUAUAUAUAAUAAUAAUAAUAAUAAUAAUGUACAUU